rnacentral:tRNA from 1 species
UGAGGUGUAGCCAAGUGGUAAGGCAGCGGGUUCUGGUCCCGUGAUCGUGGGUUCGAAUCCUACCACCUCAACCA